rnacentral:rRNA from 1 species
CAGUAGCCGCGGUAAUACAGAGGUCUCAAGCGUUGUUCGGAUUCAUUGGGCGUAAAGGGUGCGUAGGUGGCUUGGUAAGUUGAAGGUGAAAUCUCGGGGCUUAACUCCGAAACUGCCUUCAAUACUGCUGAGCUCGAGGAUUGUAGAGGAGAAUGGAAUUCCGGUGUAGCGGUGAAAUGCGUAGAUAUCGGAAGGAACACCUGUGGCGAAAGCGGCUCACUGGACAAUAACUGACGCUGAUGCACGAAAGCUAGGGGAGCAAACAGGAUUAGAUACCCCGGUAGUCCCUGUCUCUUAUACA